rnacentral:rRNA from 1 species
GAUGAACGCUGACAGAAUGCUUAACACAUGCAAGUCAACUGUGGCGGACGGUUGCGUAACGCGUAAAGAACUUUCCUCACGGAUAGGGACACCAUUUGGAAACGAAUGCUAAUACCUGAUGCUGUGAGAGAGCUUUGCGUCCCAUUAGCUAGUUGGAGAGGUAACUGCUCACCAAGGCGAGGAUGGGUAGCCGGCCUGAGAGGGUGAUCGGCCACAAGGGGACUGAGACACGGCCCUUACUGCUACGGGAGGAAGCGGUGGGGAAUAUUGGACAAUGGACCAAAGUCUGAUCAAGCAAUUCUGUGUGCAAGAUGAAGUUUUCGGAAUGUAAAGUGCUUUCAGUUGGGAAGCGUUACCAACAGAAGAAGUGACGGCUAAAUACGUGCCAGCCGCCGCGGUAAUUC